AGAGUUUGAUCCUGGCUCAGGACAAACGCUGGCGGCGUGCCUAAUACAUGCAAGUCGAACGGGCCCUUCGGGGCUAGUGGCAGACGGGUGAGUAACACGUAGGUAAUGUACCUUCUCGCUGGGGAUACCUACCCGAAAGGGUGGUUAAUACCGAAUGGUCUCGAUGAGCGGCAUCGUUUAUCGAGUAAAGUGUUAGCGCGAGAGGAUCAGCCUGCGGGCCAUCAGCUAGUUGGUGGGGUAACGGCCUACCAAGGCAACGACGGUUAGCCGGUCUGAGAGGAUGAUCGGCCACACUGGAACUGAGAGACGGUCCAGACUCCUACGGGAGGCAGCAGUAAGGAAUAUUGCGCAAUGGGCGAAAGCCUGACGCAGCGACGCCGCGUGAGGGAUGAAGGUUUUCGGAUCGUAAACCUCUGUUAAGCAGGGAAGAGAACGGACGGUACCUGCUGAGGAAGCAUCGGCUUACUACGUGCCAGCAGCCGCGGUAAUACGUAGGAUGCGAGCGUUGUCCGGAUUUACUGGGCGUAAAGAGCUUGUAGGCGGGAAUGCGCGUCUGCGAUGAAAUUGCACGGCUCAACCGUGCAGCUAUUGCAGAUACGGUAUUUCUUGAGGGCAGAAGAGGAGAACGGAAUUCCCAGUGUAGCGGUGAAAUGCGUAGAUAUUGGGAAGAACACCAGCGGCGAAGGCGGUUCUCUGGUCUGUCACUGACGCUAAAGAGCGAAGGCGUGGGUAGCGAACGGGAUUAGAUACCCCGGUAGUCCACGCGGUAAACGAUGGAUACUAAGUGUAUGAGGGAUUGACCCCCUUGUGCGCCCCACCUAAC
rnacentral:rRNA from 1 species